AGGGUUAGUGUUGGAGCUAGGGUUAGGGUUGGGCUUGGAGCUAGGAUUUUUCUGAGUGCACUGAACCAACUCCUGAGUCUCUAGGACAUUCCUAAAAAAAAUUGAUUUUUUUCCCAUAGGAAUGCAUGGGUUAGGGUUAUGGUUAGGGUUACGGUUGGAGCUAGGGUUAGGGUUAGGGUUAGGGUUGGAGUUAGGGUUAGUGUUGGAUCUAGGGUUAGGGUUGGGCUUGGAGCUAGGAUUUUUCUGAGUGCACUGAACCAACUCCCGAGUCUCUAGGACAUUCCUAAAAAAAUUUGAUUUUUUCCCAUAGGAAUGCAUGGGUUAGGUUUAUGGUUAGGGUUAGGGUUAGAGCUAGGGUUAGGGUUAGGGUUAGGGUUGGAGUUAGGGUUAGUGUUGGAGCUAGGGUUAGGGUUGGGCUUGGAGCUAGGAUUUUUCUGAGUGCAAUGAACCAACUCCC
rnacentral:lncRNA from 1 species